CCUAAGCCUGCCAAGAAAAGCAUUAGCUAAGCAGAAACAGCUUGUAGCUGAGGGCAAAGUAAAAGCUGGCCUUUCUGAACACUUACAACCAGGCAUAGCUCAUCAGACAUCAACAAAGUCCUGCACCGGACCCAAAAUCGUGGGAAGCCUACCUUGCUUAUAACACAGACUGGCUGCUUUUUGAUUGCUGAUGAAAUCAAAGAUGCUGCGUGUGGGUGGAGGAACACAUUGUCAGACUACAGCAUAGCUUCACAAAGCGGUUUUGCUUGGAUUUAUAUCCUAGGGAACAACCAUGUUUCUGUGUCCUGCUCUGCAUGUUUUAUCAUCGUAAUAAAUAUUCCUUUCUGCCAUCUUUCAUGCCUUUGGUUCAAAGUGGUGGAAGGUACCAGCAUGUUCUGGAAACAGAGAAGGAGGCAAAAAAAC
rnacentral:lncRNA from 1 species